rnacentral:rRNA from 1 species
UACGGAGGGAGCUAGCGUUAUUCGGAAUUACUGGGCGUAAAGCGCACGUAGGCGGCUUUGUAAGUUAGAGGUGAAAGCCUGGAGCUCAACUCCAGAAUUGCCUUUAAGACUGCAUCGCUUGAAUCCAGGAGAGGUGAGUGGAAUUCCGAGUGUAGAGGUGAAAUUCGUAGAUAUUCGGAAGAACACCAGUGGCGAAGGCGGCUCACUGGACUGGUAUUGACGCUGAGGUGCGAAAGCGUGGGGAGCAAACAGGAUUAGA